rnacentral:rRNA from 1 species
UACUAGUUGUUGGGAGACUUGAUCUCUUAGUAACGAAGCUAACGCGAUAAGUAGACCGCCUGGGGAGUACGGCCGCAAGGUUAAAACUCAAAUGAAUUGACGGGGGCCCGCACAAGCGGUGGAGCAUGUGGUUUAAUUCGACGCAACGCGAAGAACCUUACCUACACUUGACAUCCAGAGAACUUUCUAGAGAUAGAUUGGUGCCUUCGGGAGCUCUGAGACAGGUGCUGCAUGGCUGUCGUCAGCUCGUGUUGUGAAAUGUUGGGUUAAGUCCCGUAACGAGCGCAACCCUUGUCCUUAUUUGCCAGCACUUCGGGUGGGAACUCUAAGGAGACUGCCGGUGACAAACCGGAGGAAGGUGGGGACGACGUCAAGUCAUCAUGGCCCUUACGUGUAGGGCUACACACGUGCUACAAUGGCCGGUACAGAGGGCCGCGACCCCGCGAGGGUGAGCAAAUCUCAGAAAGCCGGUCGUAGUCCGGAUCGCAGUCUGCAACUCGACUGCGUGAAGUCGGAAUCGCUAGUAAUCGCGAAUCAGAAUGUCGCGGUGAAUACGUUCCCGGGCCUUGUACACACCGCCCGUCACACCAUGGGAGUGGGUUGCACCAGAAGUAGCUAGACUAACCUUCGGGGGGUCGGUUACCACGGUGUGAUUCAUGACUGGGGUGAAGUCGUAACAAGGUAACC